UACGUAGGUGGCAAGCGUUGUUCGGAAUGACUGGGCGUAAAGGGCGUGUAGGUGGACUGAUCAGUCGGGUGUGAAAUAUCCAGGCUCAACCUGGAGGGUGCAUCCGAUACGGUCAGUCUUGAGUGCAGGAGAGGGCAGUGGAAUUCCCAGUGUAGCGGUGAAAUGCGUAGAUAUUGGGAGGAACACCAGUGGCGAAGGCGGCUGCCUGGACUGUAACUGACACUGAGGCGCGAAAGCGUGGGGAG
rnacentral:rRNA from 1 species